GCUCCGGUCCCGGUCGUCUUUCUUUCGGGCCUCUCCGAGUGGUCAAUAAACCCCGCCUCCCUUCUGUCAUCCCGUACGUCUCGACCUCGCAGCCGCAAACGCGAAACCCUAGCCUCGAGCUCUAUCUCCGGCCACAGCUGGUCAGGUAGGACCGUAGGAAUCUCCUUUCCUCAUCGUUCCUCGGGUGGUUCGUGCCCCGCGCCCCGCUGCUUUCUGGGUUAGCGACGAAGGAUGAGCAGGCGCUGGAGCCGCACGAUCUACGUCGGGAACCUCCCCGGCGACAUCCGGGAGAGGGAGGUGGAGGAUCUGUUCUACAAGUAUGGUAAAAUUGUUGACAUUGACCUGAAGGUCCCCCCAAGACCACCUGGUUAUGCUUUUGUUGAGUUUGAAGAUCCUCGUGAUGCUGAGGAGGCAAUUGCUGGACGGGAUGGAUACAACUUUGAUGGACACCGUCUAAGAGUGGAGGCUGCUCAUGGUGGUAGAGGUAAUGCUUCCUCGCAUGAUCGUUCAAGUGGCUUUGGUGGCGGUGGUGGAGCACGUCGUGGUGUGUCGAGACACUCAGAGUAUCGUGUUCUUGUCACUGGACUGCCUUCUUCUGCAUCAUGGCAGGAUUUAAAGGAUCAUAUGCGGAAGGCUGGUGAUGUUUGUUUCUCUGAAGUGUAUCGCGAAGGCGGUGGCACCGUAGGAAUUGUGGACUACACAAAUUAUGAUGAUAUGAAAUAUGCUAUAAAGAAGCUGGAUGAUACUGAAUUCAGGAACGCCUUUGGGCGAGCCUAUAUAAGGGUGAAGGAAUAUAACGGCAAACGUGGUCGCUCCUACUCACGUAGCCGAAGCCCAAGUCGUAGUUACAGCAAAAGCAGGAGUCCGAGUAAAUCACCCAGGACUCGCCGUUCAUCAUCUAGAUCCCGGUCAAGAUCUGUUUCUUCUCGUUCAAGGUCCCCAUCAAAAGGACGUUCUCCAUCAAGACUCAAUUAUCUUGCCCUUUUAUCUGGGAUUGUGCGGUGAUCUGGGGAUUGCGCAUUAAGAUAUUGAGGAUGGGAUUUUCACAAUUUGCUACAGUUCAGUUGAUUUUAUAAGAGUUUGGCAUAAGCGCAUUGUUUGGAAUACUGGACAUAGGAGCGUUAAGGAUUGGUGAUCUGGAUUAUGGUGGUACAGUGGCUAGGAAUGUACUUGGAGUUCAAUGCUUGGGGAAUGAGUUUUCUUCGUACCUCAGAUCACCAGCAAGAUCGAAAUCUCCUAAUGUUUCUCCAGCAAAUGGUGAAGCAGCAAGCCCCAAGAAGCAGAGCCCAAACAGGAGCCCAUCUGGCUCACGCUCUCCUGAUGCGAAGCCUGAAUAAAAUUGCUAUGCUGUUAAAGGAUUGCAGAUGGAGUCAGGAGCUCUUCUUUUCUUAACAUUUGUCCUCUGUUCUAGUACCAUCAGUGUCUUAUCGCAGUACGAGAUUGGAUGAUAUUAACUAUCUGUAUCAGCUUGUAUCGAUGGACUCCAAGUGUUGUCACUCUUGUUGUCUAGUGUGCUGAAGGACCCAUUUACUUUUGCUAAACUUUUCCAUUGGUGAUUGUUGGAUGCAUGGUGUGGAUUUGUGCUGUGUUGGCUAAAUCAUGUUGUUCUA